rfam:Toxocara canis scaffold434, whole genome shotgun sequence.
AAGAUGGCUGCACUUGCAGCCACAUAAUUGUACUUUAAAAGGGUUUU